rnacentral:tRNA from 1 species
GGCGGUGAGGUCGAACAGUUAGACAAUUCCUUGGCAAGGGAGUUUAAGUGGGUUCAAUUUCCACCGCCGCCUCCA